UACGGGGGGAGCAAGCGUUGUUCGGAUUUACUGGGCGUAAAGCGCACGUAGGCGGGUUGUUAAGUCAGGGGUGAAAUCCUGGAGCUCAACUCCAGAACUGCCUUUGAUACUGGCAACCUAGAGACUGGAAGAGGUUAGUGGAAUUCCCAGUGUAGAGGUGAAAUUCGUAGAUAUUGGGAAGAACACCGUGGCGAAGGCGGCCAUCUGGACCGCAACUGACGCUGAGGCGCGAAAGCGUGGGGAGCAAACAGG
rnacentral:rRNA from 1 species